GGCCACCAAUGCAAAUGCACGGGAUGCCAGCAUCCAGGAGCACACACUAGCAGUCACAGGGACAGACUCUCCCUGGCAUCCACGAUGGUGUGCACAUCCAGGUCCACAUACUGUCACACUGCAAGAACACGCACUCCUCCACAAACAGCCUUGCUCUUGGACAUUUCAAGCCAUCUAAGGGGUGGACAAUCAUGCACAUCACCAAAUUGCCAGAGGAUCUGAUUCCUUCACAGUCCCAACAGAACCAGAUUGGACCAGCACUGUGACCCACAAGCCGUUUACUCUACGUGGCGGGGGUAAUUUUCCAAUCCAGUUUGAGAAAAGAAAACUAAAGCUGAUCAUCUAGCCUCAUCUUUCAAAAAGAGACAGUCAAUCAGCUUGGUCCAAGGUGUCUGAAAGCGACUUCAAAACCAGAGACCAGGGCUUUGUGGAGGAGACGGAAGCGCGCCCUGUCCGGGAGAUCACGCUUGCACACCUUUGCACAGGCGCGCUGCGCAUGCCCGCACUCCACACCAGCUGACCGCCUGAGAUCAGGGAGACUUGAGUGAGUGGAGCCAUUUUUCACUCCCUGUGCCAAACUCCAGCAGGUGAAAUUCCGAGUAGAAAGCUGGCUGCCCAAGCAGCUCAUGUGAUAAAAAUGCUGAAGCUGCCUUCUGCAGACUCAUGCCAGGCCUCCCCGUCCCGGCGCUGGCACCUGAAAAGACAUCUACAGUACCACCCGGGAGCAGAAGGGACUUCCUGAGGCCCCACCCAGCCCCUCUGCUGCCUCUGUUCCUUGGUUCCUAUCCCAUCUCUCUGAAUGGCCAGAUGUGUCUACUCCGUCUGUCUGGUCCCUUUGUUUUUGGGGUGGGGGGUUAACGAGACAGGGUUUCUCUGUAUUGUUUUGGAGGCUGUCGGUCCAGAGAUCCGCCUGCCUCUGCCUCCCGAGCGCUGGGAUUAAAGGCAUGCGCCACCAACGCCCGGCUUGCCUGGUCCCAUUUUGUACUUGCUUCGGCCUUAGUUUCUCCAGUGGGAUGAACAGAUUCCACCCCAAAUGGAUAUCAAAUGGACCAGGGUGAUGGACCACCCUUUGCAUAUGAGUGAUAAAUAAAGUUUCCUGCAAUUCCAUUCCUCGGGUCUACGGGCCUGAUGCUACAAAUUAUUGACCUUUCUCUCCCGCAGCAUGCUUCAUGGCACUUAAGAAAGGUCUGUAAAUUUACAGACAUUAAAAACAUGCACACAUGCCAACACGCGUGUGCGCGUGCGUGCGCAUACAAAGGUAUACAUUUUUAAGUAAAUCGUGCAAAGAGAAAGCAUUGAAUUUUCAACUUGACUUUUGGGAACCAUGGUCUUCUAAACCCUCACCCUCUCUCUCUCUCUCUCUCUCUCUCUC